GGGGUGCCUUUGCGGGGGCAGAGCUGCGUUCUGCUUAACACAGACCCGGGGGACACCAAAAACGCGGAGCAGCUUUCUCAGCACACACCUUGGGGGCACGGCCUCGCUUUGGGACAACUCAGGGCAGCAUCGACGGGUCUCCCUCUUUUGUCCAAGGCUGGAGUGUGGUAGUGCUAUCACAGCUGACUGCAGCCUCAACCUUCCAGGCUGAAGCGAUCCUCCCAUCUCAAUCUCCUACGUGGCUGAGACUACAGGUGCUUGCCACUAUGCCCAACUAACAUUUGGAAUUUUCGUAUACGUGGAUUCUAGAGGGGUGACAGCGAAACCUGCAGGACAAAUUCGAGCAUCUUAAAAUGAUUCAACAGGAGGAGAUAAGGAAGCUUGAGGAAGAGAAAAAACAACUGGAAGGAGAAAUCAUAGAUUUUUAUAAAAUGAAAGCUGC
rnacentral:lncRNA from 10 species